CCUCGGGCGUGGCAUGGGUACGGGCAGACUUCAGUGCGGAAGGGGAGAUAGAAAUUCCUGGUGUAGCGGUGGAAUGCGCAGAUAUCAGGAGGAACACCGAUGGCGAAGGCAGAUCUCUGGGCCGUAACUGACGCUGAGGAGCGAAAGCGUGGGGAGCGAACAGGAUUAGAUACCCUGGUAGUCCACGCCGUAAACGUUGGGCGCUAGAUGUAGGGACCUUUCCACGGUUUCUGUGUCGUAGCUAACGCAUUAAGCGCCCCGCCUGGGGAGUACGGCCGCAAGGCUAAAACUCAAAGGAAUUGACGGGGGCCCGCACAAGCGGCGGAGCAUGCGGAUUAAUUCGAUGCAACGCGAAGAACCUUACCAAGGCUUGACAUACACCGGAAACGGCCAGAGAUGGUUGCCCCCUUGUGGUCGGUGUACAGGUGGUGCAUGGUUGUCGUCAGCUCGUGUCGUGAGAUGUUGGGUUAAGUCCCGCAACGAGCGCAACCCUCGUUCUAUGUUGCCAGCGCGUUAUGGCGGGGACUCAUAGGAGACUGCCGGGGUCAACUCGGAGGAAGGUGGGGAUGACGUCAAAUCAUCAUGCCCCUUAUGUCUUGGGCUUCACGCAUGCUACAAUGGCCGGUACAAAGGGCUGCGAUACCGUAAGGUGGAGCGAAUCCCAAAAAGCCGGUCUCAGUUCGGAUUGAGGUCUGCAACUCGACCUCAUGAAGUCGGAGUCGCUAGUAAUCGCAGAUCAGCAACGCUGCGGUGAAUACGUUCCCGGGCCUUGUACACACCGCCCGUCAAGUCAUGAAAGUCGGUAACACCCGAAGCCGGUGGCCUAACCCUUCUUGGGGAGGA
rnacentral:rRNA from 2 species